UUCAUAGUCCUGUAUGUUGGGGAGACCUGAGCAUGCGGGGAGGAAAAGAAGGGAGGGAGGGAGAGGGGAGAGGAAGGAGGGAAGGAGGGAGGGAGGGAGAGACAUCAGUCUCCUGCUUCUCAGAUUCACGCACCAGCCCCCCCGCCCCAGGCUCACUCGAGAAGCAGGGCUCAGAUCCCAAAGCGGGACCCCCAUUGCCUCUAUGGCCAAUAGUGGGGGGACCAGUCCGCAUACGGGCUGGGCCGGGCCGGGCCGGGCUGGGGCUACUGGCUCCACUCCGGUUGGCCUGAGGCCACAUGCCUGGCUUGUUUGUAUAGUUCUUCAUGCUUCUUCCCCAUAUCUUGGUGUUUUUGGCUCCCAACUAGCCCCCUCCCAGCCAGGGAGGAGAUAACUCCGCUCGGUCCAAGCCGCUGGGGCGCUGGGAAGGACAUCAGGAAACAGCCAGCACUUUACACGCCUCCCCCGCCCUCCGUCUCAUCUCAUUUUCACCAAGUGUGGAGAAACGACGGGGCUGCUGAGGGAGGCUGGACCGUUUGGCGUUGCUUCCCGUUUUCUCUCAAAUCAGGCCUCUUCUUCCGGAGACCUCGUCUCUGGGCCUGUAGCGCCCUGUCUUCUGGUGGGUGUGUGUCUGUCUGUGGGCACAUGCCUGUGCAGAUGUGAGCGCUCCUGUGUUUGGACUCGAUGAGCCAUUUGACAAACAGACCCGCGAGAACCCUGGAGGUGGACUCCCUUUCUUUUGAGACUCUUGCUCCCUCCUAAGAGAGAAAGUCAGCUAGAUGCCUCUUCUUCCAGGAAGCCUUCCCAGGUGCCACAGCCCACUUCUCUGCCUCGUUCACAUCUGCACCUCCCACGAUGAGUGCGGGAUCCAGUUCAUAGUAGGGCUGGAUGAAUGAAUAUGGGCUACGCUUUUUUUUUUUUGAAGUUCACUUAUUUUUGAGAGAGAGAGAGAGAGCGCACGCACACACAAGUGGGGGAGAGGCAGAGAGAAGAGAGGGAGACACAGAAUCCGAAGCAGGCUCCAGGCUCUGAGCCGUCAGCACAGAGCCCGACGCUGGGCCCGAACUCACAGACCGUGAGAUUGUGGCCUGAGCCAAAGUCGGACGGUCAACCGACUGAGCCACCCAGAUGCCCCUGGGCUACACUUUUACUACGGAAUUGUGGACCACUGUGGUCCAGAGAGGGCAGGGGACUUGCCCAAAGGCACACAGUGUGUCAGUGGCUGAGUGAAAAAGUCGAAGCCAGGAUUCUUGACCCUUGGCCCAAGGUUUAUUUUAGACCAUCCCGCCAAAUGCUCAAAGAAGCGGCCAAUUCGCUGAGCGACGAUUUUGUAUUUUUGUUUCUUUGGAGCAACCUAUACAGAAGGUACCAUUAUUUCUCCUACGUGACCGAUAGAGGAACGUGUUCGAGGCGGUUCGAACGUGUUCGAGGCGGUUCGAACAUGCUCGAACAUGUUGCUCGAACGUGAGGAGGUUGCUCAGGGUCAUUCUGUGGAAGAUCCAGGAUUUGAGAGGAGGUGCCUGCCCCAACUGGAAACUCCAAAUAGGAUCUGCUUGGUAUUUUGGCUCUUUCAGAGGGAGAUCAAUGGCGUUCGACUGAGUCAGCCUUAAAAUCUACUCUCUUGAGAGCUUUCAGCCGAAGCUCCGCCCGCGUCUCCCAGAGCUCACAGAGAGUCCUUGCGCUGUCCCCGGGAAGAGCCACCAGGCCCCGGGGCCUGAGGCGGCCAAGAGGGCUUUUUCUGUCUUGUUGUCAACAAUUUCCAGUGGGGCCCCGGUAGAGCCGACAUGGCUCUGGUGUUGGAAAGCACGAGAAAUCCCAUAGUGGUGGGGCGACUUCCGCAGCCGCAGCGGGGGUCAUGCCGCUCUGGACCUCCGACCGUCACCUCCCUCCGGUGUGGCCCCCCCAACCACGCACACCCACACUGCCUGAAAGACCCUGGGUCCCCUGGACAUCGUCUUCAUCUGUCUCUGGGGUCACCUGGUGACCCCUCCGCCCCACGGCUGCUUUCACCCGUAAAAGGGGGUUCAGUGCCUAAAGAUGGGUUGAGGAUACAAUGGGACAGGCCCCGCAGCUCCCUGACACCAGCUGGAGUCAGAAGGUGACCGCGGUGCUCUGUGUCGUCGCGCAUUCCUCCGGAAGACAUCGGAGUGGUCUAUUUCACCUUUCCCGGCCGGACCCCAUGAGUCCCUGGCCAACCAGUGAGCAGCUCGCCCUAGGGUAGGCGAUGCCCUUUGCUACGCCCAAUCAGAGGGCUAGGGGCAGGUCACAUGACCGGAACAAAGUCGACUUCGGGAGUUCAGCUUACCGGGUAAGGGUCCUCCCGGAAAUGGGUGAGGGUGGUCUCGGCUCCCUGAAUCCAACCGGGAACAGCCGGUGAGGAGCAGAGGACCAAAGCCCGUUGUGCCUCCUGCCGGCUGGGUGCCUUUUGGACAAGUCCCUGGAAGAAGGUGCAUGUGUCAUUUGCGAAGUGGCACAACCGUAAACCGUCUGUUUUCCCAGCACCACCGUGCACGUCCGGCUGCAUAAUUCAAACCAGGCUGCCGGCACCGGGGCUGGCACCGAGGAGGUUUUCAGGACCUCUGGAUUCCCCUUCAGACCCGAGGGGCUUGGACAGCCUCUUCUCGGCCCUUUAUUGAAGACAGCUCGCCCAAAGUUGACAACAGUCUGAACCGAGAGGGCUCAUCUAGUUUUCAGUCCCGCCGUGCCACCGAUUUAUUUUGGUCCGUGAACAGUCGUUCGGCACCUAUUGGCAUCUUGGAGUGCAAAGGCCUACUAAUUUUGAGCAGUAGCAGCAGCCGGGGUUUUGUACCAAGCCGGGCGCUUUUCAUGUACCAUCAGAUUCGCUUUUCACCUUGAAGUUCCGAUCAGCCAAGACUAACCGAGUGUUUGCUGUGCGCUCGGCCCUGGGGAUGCAGAAAGGGACCUGGCCCGGCCGCCCCCUGCGGAGACCUCACGGUCUCGGGAGCAGUGAGAGCGCGCCACGCAAUCAGAGACCCGCACCGCACCCCCCAGCACGUAGCUACCUCUGAAGGGACCUCCGGGAAACGAAUGAAAGCCAUGUGCGUGAUAGAGAUAAGAUAAAAUUGCAGGAAGUAAGGCACGUUCCAAUUCUCCUUGGGGGGAUUUGGAGGAGGCUUCACAGCGGAAGUUCUUCUCUGUGCCGGGUCUUGAAGAAGAUAAAGAAAGCGUUUCUCCACCCGGAGAAGGGAAGAGGGUGUAGCAUGCAUCGCUGGGGCUCCGCCCGUAUCUCUUGGCACGAAGAGUUGCUGCGCAAACCAGCCCUGCCCGAUGGCCAGCACCGAUAGCGCUUCGUCUGGGGGUUUGCCUGGCCCCCGGAGCUGGCUCUGCCCUCUGGAGGGGCAGGCCGGAGGGCGCUGGGAAUCGGCCCUCUCGGGAAGCCCUCAACCACUAACAGCCAGGAGUGGGUGUAUCAAUACCCCAGCUCCCUCUCUUCAUCGGUGUGUUGUGUCCAAUCUCCCAGGGGUCCCCAGUGAGAACCCCAGUAACCGCCUUUUCCACUGCUCCCGCCGCUCCCUGAUUUGGUCUUCCUCCACACCCCGAGUAAACCACUCCUCUUCAGGCUCGCUUCUGGGGCAAUCCAGACUGAGUCAGUGGAAGAGUUAGGUAACAUUUUCUCUCCCUGCACAACAGAGAGAAGCAUGGGGUCGCUACCGCGCUGUGUUGCUGAAAUGCAAUGGCUGACCCGCCAUCAGUGGUUAGGGUUGGAUUCCACGUUGGUGGCCGCCCCCAUUCUGGUUUGGACCCACCCGCCCAAAUCACUCUGAUUUCGCAAGCACGCCGGGGCUCAGAAGGGUGAAGUGACUUGCUCAGAAACACAGAGCCGGUGGGCUUUGGAUUACAGACUGGAGGCCCAAGGGCCGUGACUCCAGGCCUGCCGUAUUUCCACACCCACCUUGAGCCCUUUCGGGGCUCAGUGACUCAGUUUCUCUGCUUUUCACUGUGUGCUGCUUUGGAGGGGCGGGGCGUAAGGUCUGAAAUCUCCGUGGGCCAGAGACCCUCCUUCCUCCUCAGCCACAAACCACCUCCUUCCCUGGGAGCGGCUGCCGGGCCCCACGGUCUCCAGAACGAAAGGGGGGCACACCUGGGAUGGGGGUGUGUGUGGGCGGGCCCAUGUCAGCAGCAAGGGGUGCUGUGCGAGCAGCCCUGCUGGUGGGGCCCGGGUGCUGGCUUCUCCAAGGAGCUGGCAGUGAAGGUUGGUUGAGCGAACUCCGAACGUGUGGGGAAAGUGAGGCCGGGGAGGGUCCCUGCAGAAGGGGCGUAUGUGAAGACCUUGUUAGGAAGGGAAGCACUUCCGUGAGUAACAGGCAGGUGGUUUCCCAAGUGGGGGUGUAACGGGCACUUGAUUUUCCCCUCCUCCCACGCCUGCUCGGGGCUGCUGUGGGGGUUCCUCCCUAGUUCCAUUCUCAGCCCCGUGGGGGUAGCGGCAGAGCUCACCCUCCACUCCAGGGAGGCCCCUGAGAGGCUUUAACUCGUCAGCCUUUUCCACCCCCAGGGCAUAGUGAUUGGCUCAGGGGUAGAUUAUGGGGAUCCCAUCAAGAGCCAAUGAGAUCCGAGGAGGUGUUUCUUGGGUUUCCAGGAAGGAGACACUUCUUCUCUCUCCUACUUGAGAUUGAGGACUAAGGAAGUAAUAGCUGGGUUGGAGGUGGCCACAUUGUUACCAAGUCAAGAGAUCCUGAAACUUCUGGGUGUCUUAUAGGGGGUGCACAGUACCUUGGAGCUACUAGAUGUGGCUGAGGGAGAGAGAGAGAGAGGUGAGAGAGAAGCAGGCACCCCAGAAGGCAGAAGAACUGGGACCUUGGAGACCUUGAGUUGCUGGAUCAAGCCUUGCCUGAAAGCAGCCAUCCCUAGAUACUUCAAUACGGAAGUUCAUAAAUUUCUUUCUGUUCUUUAA